rnacentral:rRNA from 1 species
CCAACAGGGAUUGCCUCAGUAACGGCGAGUGAAGCGGCAACAGCUCAAAUUUGAAAUCUGGCCUCUGGUCCGAGUUGUAAUUUGCAGAGGAUGCUUCGGGCGCGGUGCCUUCCAAGUCCCCUGGAACGGGGCGCCGGAGAGGGUGAGAGCCCCGUACGGUUGGCGGCCAAGCCUGUGUGAAGCUCCUUCGACGAGUCGAGUAGUUUGGGAAUGCUGCUCUAAGCGGGAGGUAGACCCCUUCUAAAGCUAAAUAUAGGCCAGAGACCGAUAGCGCACAAGUAGAGUGAUCGAAAGAUGAAAAGCACUUUGAAAAGAGGGUUAAACAGCACGUGAAAUUGUUGAAAGGGAAGCGCUUGUGACCAGACGUGCGCCGGGGUGCUCAGCGGGCGUUCUCGCCCGUGCACUCGCCCCGGCGCAGGCCAGCGUCGGUUUGGAUGGGGGGAUAAAGGCGCCUGGAAUGUGGCUCCCUCGGGAGUGUUAUAGCCAGGCGUGCCAUGCCUCCGUCCGGACCGAGGUACGCGUUCUGCAAGGACGCUGGCGUAAUGGUCUCCAGCGACCCGUCUUGAAACACGGACCAAGGAGUCGAGGUUUUGCGCGAGUGUUUGGGUGGAAAACCCGCACGCGUAAUGAAAGUGAACGUAGGUGAGAGCUUCGGCGCAUCACCGACCGAUCCUGAUGUUUUCGGAUGGAUUUGAGUAAGAGCGUAGGGCCUCGGACCCGAAAGAUGGUGAACUAUGCUUGGAUAGGGUGAAGCCAGAGGAAACUCUGGUGGAGGCUCGCAGCGGUUCUGACGUGCAAAUCGAUCGUCAAAUCUGAGCAUGGGGGGCGAAAGACUAAUCGAACCAU